CAGACUGGUCUCUAACUCCUGAGCUCAGGCAAUCUGCCCGCCUCAGCCUCCCAAAGUGCUAGGAUUUCAGGCUUGAGCCACUGUGACCGGCCCAAACUCCAAUUUUGUAUUGUGGGAUUCAAGAGAAAAAAUUGCUAUAAAGAGUCUGAAUGCCUGUGCUUGGUCUCUGCACGGACCUUGUCCCUGGCUGGUCACAACCCUAACAGUAGGUUGUGACCAGCAUUUGAAAAACAUGAAGUAGAAUAGAAUAGAAAACAGAGUGCUUUGCGUGUUGUAGGGGGAAGUGUAGUUUUGCAAAACGUUCAUUUCGAGUUUCUGCACACCCAUGUGUGUUGGCACUGCGUUCGAGGUGGAAUGCAUUACCGUGGGUGAUAGAUGGGUGCCCUCCCAUGGUGCUGUAGGGGCUGAAUUUCCUCUCUGGCUCUGCUGUCCCCAUCCCAGCUCCAUUGCCCUCUAUCUAGAGUCUGUUUCUUCGUCUCCUCCUCUGCCCAUCUCUGUCCCUCUCCUGGUUCCAUAGCAAUGGUCCUGCUCAGUAAACCUUGGCCCUUCCACUUUCCUGAUUCUUUUUUCUAGACAGUCUUCCUUCUCCCUUGCCUUUGACAGAAGCUCUCUUCCUCCUGGGUCCUAUGUAAUCAGGCCCCAACCACUAUGCUUAGCCCAGGGCAGCCUGAGACACAGAAGAGGGGGUCCCUGCCCUUGAGAAGGGAGUGGCAGUGCUGGGGAGUCAAAGAUGUACUGGGGAGUCAGGGAAUGGAAUGUAUAAUGCAAGGAAAUAUGUGAUAGGAACUGAACCAGGAGCCUGGCCAAAGGCCCUUCCUUCCAAGCUGGUGAGGAGAAGACCUGGUGCUCAAUGGAGGUCCACAGUUGGCAGACCACAUGACCCCAUCCAGGGCUCCCACUUGGUUGGUGCCUCCUCUUUUGGGGUUCUGCUGAUACCCAGCUCCCACUCUAUGGACAUACUAACAUCAGUUUAAUCAAUUCUCUAUAAAUAAACCUCUGGGUUGCUUCCACUGUUUUUGGAAUCAUGAAUAAACAAUGCUGUAAUGAACAUCUCUGUAUCUCUCCCUCACCACACCUGAGCUACUGAUUCCCAGAGGUACCCUCACUCCAGCUCUUGUUUCUUACAUCUUUACACACACACACAAUCCAAAUUCCUCCUGCUUCUCUCAGCACCCAGCUGGCCUGGUCUCGUGUCAUGAGGCUAAACAUGAGCUGGAGGUUUGGAAAUGUCAUCUUCUUCCUCAGGCCAUGCACCCUCCUUGCUCACAACUACUCAUUUGGUUUCUUCAUCCAUACUUGCCAAAUAUCUAGCUGUAUCAUCAGGGCCCUUUGACUGCAAGUAACAGAAACCCUGAUUCAAAAUGGUUUUGACAAUACAGGAAGUUUUCAUUUCCUAAAAAACGUCCCGAUCCAGGAAGGGUGCCUGAGUGGACCGAUCACAUAACCAAGGAUCCAGGUUCUGUCUGUUUUUCUGCGCUGCUAUCCUCAGCGUGUUGAUUUGCUCCUCAGGUGCUAUAGCGCCCUUCAUGGUUACAAGGUGGCUGCUGAAGGUCCAGACCUCGCAUCCAGACAUAAUAUGCCUGGAGGUUGAAGAGGGGCCGUAUCUUUCUGAAGGUCUAUUUUUCAAAUAAGGAGAACUUUUCCCUGGAGUGCCUCUAGCAGUCUUACUCUUGAGUUCUCAUCAGUUGACAUUAGGCCACAUACCCAUUCCUUUAGAGAGAAUGAGGCUUCGCUGAUUGGUUGGUGAGGCACGGGGCCUUACUGUGAAGGAGGCAGAGAGGGUUGGGUUUUAAAGGAGGAAAGGGGUGUGGGGACAGAGGCUGACUAGACAACCAACCACGAGGACCAAAGUGUCCCCGGUGGAGAGGACUCUGCUUCUGUGUCGCUCAAGCAGCUGGGCCUGUGAUCCUACUCUGGAGAUUUAGUUUGACUCUGAUUCAGUUAGAAAAUAUUUGUUGAGAAGAUGGAACUCCUGAGGGAGUUUAUUGUAAUGCGAGAGAGUGAGAGUGGGGUUAGGGUACAGGACUGGGAGAGAAGGCGGAAGCUGCGAAGCUGCAGACAGGAGGUCUGAGCACUCCAGCCCUUCUCUCUGAGGGAAGGAGUUAGGAGGGACUCAGUGAGUCCCUUUUUGGGCUGGGUUGGACACAGGGGACUGAUUGACUGAGGUAACCUUUGAGGUAAGAGGUCUGGGUGGGAGGGCACCUAUCCCAGGCCAAGGUCCCCUAACUUUUCUCCUGACCCUCAGGUGGGUCUUGUCCUUGCCCCUGAGCCACAGAAGGACAGGAAGAAGAGAAGGAGGGCUGUGAGUCAAGAGCCUACCUGGGGGCAAAGAAAAACACAGGAAGUGACUCAAGGCCUGUAGGGUGGCCAGGUGGCCAGCAAUGCCCCAGGAUGGACCCUGAGGGAGUUGGCUGAGGGAAAGGGUCCCCUCCCCAGAGGCUGCCGGUGCAUGCCAUCCUGGCUAUUUCUGCCAACCAUGUUUCCCACAAAUCCUUCCCCUCCUCACCACAGGAGGCUGGCUGCCCACUCACCCACAAAUCCCACUGCCAGCUGUUGUAAUUCCUGGCUCUGGUCCACCCCCUGCAUCCGGGAGGCUCAGCACCUCUGACCCCAGAGGGUGGGUCAACCCCUUCCCCUGCCUCUGUCCCUGGCCUUCACACCCUGAAGGAAGAGAUUCCAGAGCCACUAGAGGGUGGGGGUCUUCUGAGCCAAGCAGUGGUCCCUGUGUGCAUGCACAGCAAGGUGGAGGAUCUGGGUCCAGGCAGAGUGACAGGAUGUGAAGGUAGAGGGAGACCCACGAACCGCUGGAUCCCUUCUGUGUGCACUGUCAGAGAGGCCUUUGUCCUGCCCACUGGAAGCCAGGACCCCACCCUUGAGGCACUGAAAUGUCUAAUCCAUGUCUGGAAACAGAUUGAUGGUUCCCGAAAAUCCAGUGGGUCUCCCCCAUUUGAGCGAUCCCUAAAGGCAGGGGUCAUGUCUCUCCCCUUACACUGGGAGUUUCCUGAAGCCAGACGCUGAGUUUCACCCUAAAGAAGGCAGCUGAGAGCACUAUAUGUGGCCCCAUCAGACUGAGAGCUUCCUGAGGACAGGGGCUAAAUUUCACCCAUGAGAGUAACACUUCAAGAAACACUCUCUCUUCCUGCUUUGAGGACAGCUGAAGUCUCGCCACUUCUUCUGGAUGCUCUGACCAUCAAUGAGAGUCUGUAUCCACCAGCUACUCUUCCAGAUUCAUGAGGCAAAGCCUGCCUGCUCACCUGGAUGGCCCCAAGCACCUCUUCAACCUGCUGCCACCGUCCUGCCUCGCUGCCCUUCUCAGCUCAUCCAGCAGGGUCUCCAAGUCAUGGAAAAAGAAGCGUGUAUACACACGUGCUCAUAUACACAUGCCCACAGCCGCAUAAGCACACCCAGAAACACCAUCGCAGACAUGUUCUCACAAGCACAUGCACACAACACACUCACUACCCCUCACUUGUAUACACAUGAAUACACACACACACUCAUGCGCACUCACAGUCUUACACACACACACACACACACAGAGUUAUAAUCACUGCUGUUGGAUGAAUUGUGCCCCCCACCCCCGUGCUAAAAAGAUAUGUUAGAGUCCUAACCUCCAGUACCUGGGGAUGUGACCGUAGUUGGAAAUAGAGUGUUUGUAGAUGUAAUCAAAUUAAGAUGAGCUCUUACUGGAUUAGAGUGGGACCUAAAUCCAGUGACUGGUGUCCUUAUAAGGAGAAAAAGAUUUGAAAACAGAGACAUGGAGACACAGAGCGGAAGGCCAUGUGAUGAUGGAGUCAGAGAUUGGAGUGAUGCAGCUGCAAGCCAAGAAAUACCGAGGUGCUGGAAGCCCCCAGAAAUAAGGAGAGAGGCAUGGAACAAUCUCCAUCAGAGCCUCCGGAAGAAACAGACUCUGCCAACACCUUGAUUGCAGACUUUUGGCCCCCUUCACUGUGCGAGAAUACAUUUCUAUUGUUUUAAACUA